rnacentral:rRNA from 1 species
UACGUAGGGGGCUAGCGUUGUCCGGAUUUAUUGGGCGUAAAGAGCGUGUAGGCGGCCUGGUAGGUCUGCUGUGAAAACUCGAGGCUCAACCUCGAGAUGUCGGCGGAAACCAUCUGGCUAGAGUCCGGAAGAGGAGAGUGGAAUUCCUGGUGUAGCGGUGAAAUGCGCAGAUAUCAGGAAGAACACCUAUGGCGAAGGCAGCUCGCUGGGACGGUACUGACGCUGAGGCGCGAAAGCGUGGGGAGCGAACAGG